UCGAGAAUAUUCGACAAUGGGCGAAAGCCUGAUCGAGCGACGCCGCGUGCAGGAAGAAGGGCUUCGGCCUGUAAACUGCUUUUGCGUGGGAAGAACUUUGACGGUACCACGAGAAUAAGGGGUUGCUAACCUCGUGCCAGCAGCAGCGGUAAUACGAGGACCCCGAGCGUUAUCCGGAAUUACUGGGCGUAAAGCGUGAGCAUCCGGUUGUAUUAGUCUUAUGUUAAAUCUCACUGCUCAACGGUGAGACCGCGUGAGAAACGGUACGACUAGAGUGGGUAAGAGGCAGACGGAACGUGCAGUGUAGGGGUGAAAUCCAUUGAUAUUGCACGGAACACCAAAAGCGAAAGCAGUCUGCUAGUGCUCUACUGACGGUCAAUCACGAAAGUGUGGGGAUCAAAAAGGAUUAGAUACCCGUGUAGUCC
rnacentral:rRNA from 1 species